rnacentral:rRNA from 1 species
UACAGAGGUGGCAAGCGUUGUUCGGAAUUACUGGGCGUAAAGGGCGCGUAGGCGGCCUUCUAAGUCAGACGUGAAAUCCCCCGGCUUAACCUGGGAACUGCGUCUGAUACUGGGAGGCUUGAGUAUGGGAGAGGGAUGUAGAAUUCCAGGUGUAGCGGUGGAAUGCGUAGAGAUCCGGAAGAACACCGGUGGCGAAGGCGGCCUGCUGGGCAGUUGCUGACACUGAGGCGCGACAGCGUGGGGAGCAAACAGG